AGGGUCGUAGUUAAUUAUAACAUUUGAUUUGCACUCAAAAGGUAUUGAAAUCAAUCUACCUUA
rnacentral:tRNA from 1 species